rnacentral:rRNA from 1 species
CUUGUACACACCGCCCGUCACACCAUGGGAGCGGGUUCUGCCAGAAGUAGUUAGCCUAACCGCAAGGAGGGCGAUUACCACGGCAGGGUUCGUGCUGGGGUG